rnacentral:misc_RNA from 3 species
AAGAAUGUAUCUUAGGAUACAACAACCA